rnacentral:rRNA from 1 species
GUGUCAGCAGCCGCGGUAAUACGUAGGGUGCGAGCGUUAAUCGGAAUUACUGGGCGUAAAGGGUGCGUAGGCGGUUUGAUAAGUCUGAUGUGAAAUCCCCGGGCUCAACCUGGGAACGGCAUUGGAGACUGUCAAGCUAGAGUGCGUCAGAGGGGGGUAGAAUUCCACGUGUAGCAGUGAAAUGCGUAGAGAUGUGGAGGAAUACCGAUGGCGAAGGCAGCCCCCUGGGAUGACACUGACGCUGAAGCACGAAAGCGUGGGGAGCAAACAGGAUUAGAAACCCCAGUAGUCC